AUUGAACGCUGGCGGAAUGCUUUACACAUGCAAGUCGAACGGCAGCACGGGGGCAACCCUGGUGGCGAGUGGCGAACGGGUGAGUAAUACAUCGGAACGUGCCCGGUCGUGGGGGAUAACGUAGCGAAAGUUACGCUAAUACCGCAUACGAUCUGAGGAUGAAAGCGGGGGACCUUCGGGCCUCGCGCGAUCGGAGCGGCCGAUGUCAGAUUAGGUAGUUGGUGGGGUAAAGGCCUACCAAGCCGACGAUCUGUAGCUGGUCUGAGAGGACGACCAGCCACACUGGGACUGAGACACGGCCCAGACUCCUACGGGAGGCAGCAGUGGGGAAUUUUGGACAAUGGACGCAAGCCUGAUCCAGCCAUUCCGCGUGCAGGACGAAGGCCUUCGGGUUGUAAACUGCUUUUGUAUGGAACGAAAAGGCUCUGGCUAAUACCUGGGGCUCAUGACGGUACCGGAAGAAUAAGCACCGGCUAACUACGUG
rnacentral:rRNA from 1 species